CUCAGAACCAGCUGAUUUGACCUCACUGUUAGUAUUGUAUCAAUAAUCAAUAACUCUGUAGAAUGUCUAAUAAGGGGAUUUAAAGCAAUUCCAGAUUGGGUCCAGGCAUCUCUGCUCACAAGCAACCAAGAAUAAACCACUAGAAUCCACCCAGACUUUGUGUGAAGCACUUGUUCAGCAGAAAACACAGCAGUUUCAUUUUUUUUCUGUUUCCAAAGGCUUUUUAAAUUCUAAAUGAG